GUUUUUGUAGUUGAAUAACAACGGUGGUUUUUCGGACCAAAGGUCCUGGUUUAAGCCCGGGUAAGAAUA
rnacentral:tRNA from 1 species